rnacentral:rRNA from 1 species
CUACGGGAGGCAGCAGUGGGGAAUUUUGGACAAUGGGCGCAAGCCUGAUCCAGCCAUGCCGCGUGAGUGAAGAAGGCUUCGGGUUGUAAAGCUCUUUCAGCCGGGAAGAAAAGGUUGCGAUUUAAUAAUCGCAAUUUAUGACGGUACCGGAAGAAGAAG